rnacentral:rRNA from 1 species
UUGUUCGGAAUUACUGGGCGUAAAGGGCGCGUAGGCUGCCUUCUAAGUCGAACGUGAAAUCCCCGGGCUCAACCCGGGAACUGCGUCCGAUACUGGAAGGCUUGAAUCCGGGAGAGGGAUGCGGAAUUCCAGGUGUAGCGGUGAAAUGCGUAGAUAUCUGGAGGAACACCGGUGGCGAAGGUGGCAUCCUGGACCGGCAUUGACGCUGAGGCGCGAAAGCCAGGGGAGCAAACGGG